UCACUGAAAAAACAGUUAGAAGACAGAAUUAGAGAUCUGGAACGUGCACUGGGAAGGACAAAAAGCAACCAAGCAGAAAGACCUUUUCAAAAGGAAUCCACCCAGGCAGAAGUGGACAAGUACAAAGAGCUGUAUCUGGUGGAAGCCCAAAGAAGAAAAAGCCUCACCAAGAAACUGGAAAGAGCUACUGAGAGACUUGCAGAGGCCAACACCAAGCUCUUUUUGGAGCGCCACAGAAGCAGAUCUGCGGUCCCAAGCAGCGCUGUCAGCGGACUUCUGGCUGCAAGUCCACUUCUGGAUUCACCUGGCCUGGGACAUCUUGGCCUCAGUUUGGGACUGAGCAGAAGUCUGGCUCUCAGAACACCACCCAGACACCUGUGGUAAAGCCCAAGACUUCUGCUCAUCAGGACAUCCUGUGAGGGACCGUUCAGAUGGAUGGAACAAAUUGCUUCCUUUCCUUAAUUUCGACACCCAUGGCCUAGUAGCCAAUUUCCUUAAUGGUGGCCUUCAAGGUUUGGUAGCAAAGACUCCAAGAUCAGCUCUAACCCAUCCCUACAUUGCUCAGCGACAAUGAUCCUAGUGGUGAAGGCAGCGAAAAUGCUACUUAAAAUUGGAGAGGUGGUGCUGCAUUGGUCCCCUUGUUGUACGAAAGGAAUCGCUGGAGCUUUGGGGACAAGAAGUGCCAACGGCCACGACAACUGUACACAGGCAACAGUAUCGGACGAACCGAGAUGCUGUGACCCCCAUCCAUAAGAUGAUCUGGAAGUUGGAGAGCCAAGGGGUGGUCAGCAGAACACACUCACCCUUCAACAGCCCCGUCUGGCCUGUAAGUCCGAUGGAGAGUGGAGACUGACUGUGGACUAUUGUGGCUUAAAUGAAGUCACGCCGCCAUUGAGUGCCGCUGUGCCAGACAUGUUGGAGCUCCAGGACGAGCUGGAGUCCAAAACAGCAAAGUGGUACGUCACCAUCGACAUUGCCAACGCGUUUUUCUCCAUUCCCUCAGCAGCAGAGUGCAGGCCACAGUUUGCUUUCACCUGGAGGGGCGUUCAGUACACCUGGAAUCGACUGCCCCAGUGUGGAAGCACAGUCCAACCAUCUGCCAUGGACUGAUUCAGGCCACACUAGAGAAGGAUGAGGCUCUAGAACACAUCCAGUACAUCGAUGACAUCAUUGUGUGGGGGGACACAGCAGAAGAAGUUUUCGAGAAAGGACAGAAGAUCAUCCAGAUUCUCCUCAGGGCUGGUUUUGCCAUCAAGAAGAGUAAGGUCAAGGGCCCUGCCCAAGAGAUCCAGUUCCUAGGGCUGAAAUGGCAAAUGGACGACACCAGAUACCAACAGAUGUCCUCAACAAGAUUGUAGCAAUGGCUCCACCCACAAACAAGAAAGAAACCCAAGCUUUUCUGGGAGCCAUUGGCUUCUGGAGGAUGCACAUCCCAGAGUACAGCCAGAUGGUGAGCCCUCUUUACUUUG